AACGAACGCUGGCGGCGUGCUUAACACAUGCAAGUCGAACGAGAACGUCCCUUCGGGGGCUAGUAGAGUGGCGCACGGGUGAGUAAUACAUAGGAACGUACCGAGUAGUGGGGAAUAACCACGGGAAACUGUGGCUAAUACCGCAUGAUGUCGCAAGACCAAAGGAGGCCUCUACUUAUAUGCUUUCGCUAUUUGAUCGGCCUAUGUCCCAUUAGCUUGUUGGUAGGGUAAUGGCCUACCAAGGCGAUGAUGGGUAGCUGGUCUGAGAGGAUGAUCAGCCACACUGGGACUGAGACACGGCCCAG
rnacentral:rRNA from 1 species